rnacentral:rRNA from 1 species
AGGUCCAACCUGCCCAGUGAAUAUUAUUUUAAACGGCCGCGGUAUCCUAACCGUGCAAAGGUAGCGCAAUCACUUGCCCACUAAUUAUGGGCUAGUAUGAAUGGUUUAAUGAGGGCAUAACUGUCUCCUGUGUCCAAUCAAUGAAUUUGACAUUUCAGUACAAAUGCUGAAAUAAUCCCACAAGACGAGAAGACCCUGUGGAACUUCAAAUAUUUACUAGCCGGCCUAAACAAAAUACCCCCCUCACCCCUAGUAAUCAUUUUAAGUUGGGGCAACUAUGGAGUAAAACAAAACCUCCAUGAAACACACCUAAUAAGUGUAUACAAGGCUCACGCGCCAGCGAAAAGUUUGAUCCAGUAAAACUGAUUUCCGACCCAAGCUACCCCAGGGAUAACAGCGCCAUCCCCUUAAAGAGUCCAUAUCGCCAAGGGGGCUUACGACCUCGAUGUUGGAUCAGGACACCCCGG